GCUGCCCACCAAGCAAUAUCUGCUUUGCAGCCAGGGUUAAGUCUUACGAAAUGUGAUGGCUGUCUCAAAAUGUUCUUGGCAUUAAUCAAGUUUCUCAUAAAUGGUCCCCCAAAGGGAACAACCUUUGCUGCAUCGUUAAGGACGCCUAUGAUGACUUCCAACUGAUGCUUAGUUGCAGCUUUCCUUUUGCUCCACUUAAAUAUUUCCUUCAAGGGAGCAACUUAAUGGGGAGAUGUAGUUCCCUUGCUACUGAAUGAAUUUCUAUACCCAAAAAUAUGAGGGUAGAAAAGGAACUUCCACCUUUGUUGGCCCAGGCAAACCUGUCUGCUACAACGUUAAAAAUGAUUGGAGCUGACCUACAUGUAAGACCGAAAGGAAGAGCUCUAUUGAGAUACUCAUUGCCUCUCCAUGAAAUCUCAAGGAAAUGACUGCCAUCAGAAUGGACAAGCACUUUAUGAUAUGCAGAUUUUAGUUGUGAUUGCCAGGCUCCCCUUUUCUAGACAACUGAAGAGCACAAGCUGAUUGCUGAUGGUCUGCUGCAUUGCAAAGAAUACAGACAGAGACCCGAGCUCCUGAGAAAACAUGGAAGCCAAUAGUGAAGGGGAAUUCCUGCCCCAGCAGCCUCAAGAGGCGAUCAUAUGCUUACCAUUUUUUACCCCCAUGGCGUUGAGCAUUAUGAAAGAUGACUUGGCUAUAUGCAGCCAUCUCCCUAGCUUUAGGGUCGGAGGCAGCUACAGCCAAGUAGCUAAGGAAGUACAAGGCCCAAGUGAGUAGGUCAUCAAUUUCCUUUAACUUCAAUCCAGCAUUAGACUGAGCAACUCUGAAAGCUGCAAUUUCUUUGCAGUAUUAUCUGGCAUUAACUCUUUUAAUUUAAAGAAUUGGUUUGACUUGAUUUUGUCAGCAACAUUUGAUGGAACCGCUGGGGAAGAAGGAGAAGUGAUGAAUGAGAGAGGCAAUUCCCGAACAACUGUAGAAGAGAGGCUUGCUGGGCAAAACUCGGCCCAAAACUUGGCCCGUUUUUGUGUCAACUGAUGAAAGCCAGAAAGUAGUCAUAACUGCUAAUUAGUGAAUAUGUAGCAUUAUCACUUACUUGAAACAAAUUGACUGCCUUAAAACUUCUUUUUAAACUAUCUCCUUUAUACUCAAGAGCAGAUGUCAAUUAUUUAAAUUUAAAUUACGCGAGUGGGCGGAUAAGCAUGCUCUUGACAUGUGCGUGUACUUUAUAAUGCAUUAAAAAAUUAAUCAGAGGAUGGGGCUACAGAGGAGCUUAUGAGGGAAACUCCAAAUAAUGAUGAUGAACUACUUAAAGCUAUAGAGCUUGUUGUAGUUGUAGUAUCAGAACUGCCUGCUGGCAGAGAAAGAUAUAUAAUUUUUUUAAAUGGAGCAAGAGCCAAAUGUGGCUUGAAAUUGGGUUGCAUGAACCACAACAGUGUCUUGUAAGGGAUGCAAAAGACACUACGGUGGGAAUGCAUUAAUAAAAGAAACCAUACAGAAUGACGGCAUGGUUGGGUUGUACAUGGUUUGGUCCACUUUUUAGAUCCACAUUACAAUUCAUACAAAAGACAUCCUCAUUUAUGGGGCAUUUUUAUUUCCUAUCAAUACUAUCCACACCAUCUACUUCACUGUCUUCACUAGUUAUAUUUAUAUUCAGGUGUAUGCGCAGGUGGAAUUUAAUUAUGGACUAUAGUGGCCAUAGGAAGGCAAGGAAAGGCAAUAAAAGGCCUUGUUUGCUCUGAUGUGGUACCAAGAAAAAUGAAGGCUAAGAUUCCAUUUCAUAUUAAGAUCAAUACAUCAUAUUUUCCUUUAGAACUGGCAUGGUAGCACAUGAUUGAAGUGAAUUACAGCUGCUUGGUUGUCAGGGCGCAUCUUGAUAAUAGUACCUCUUAUUUUAGAUGGUUUGACACAUCUGACUGCUUCAUUGGCAUCUCUAAUAGCCUCAGGACUUAUAAUUUGUUAAGUUACAUGUGAUAUACUCAAGUUUAGACAAUAUGUUACCUCACCACAAUUCAUUUCUUCAAUUACAGUACCUAAUUGUAAAAAUGUUUCACUUACAUUUUUUUAUCAGAAGCUUGAAUAUCUCCACAUAUGAACAUCAGGACUUGUUUCAUUGUAAAAGAAAUCUUUUGUUUCCUGCAUCUUUUCAAAUUUGAAAGGCACUCACUUGUUUCAUAGUUGAUACAGAAUAAGACAGCUUUUUAUCAAUGCCAUUCAGUACAACUGCAAUUACAUUAUGUCCUGCAACUGUAACAUCAGUCCUCAGAGAUUUAGAACAAGGAGCUGUAGGGUCAGGGAAAGAAUCAUUAGCAAUGAAAGAAGGCCGCCUGAGAUACCAAUGAAGUGCCAUUUUAAUUGCUCCAUUGUGUGCUCAGCUGGUAUAUUAAUUAUUAAUGAACAAAUAAUCAUUCCAUAGACAAUAAAUGCUUUAAAUUAUUGAGUUGCUGACAGUUAUAGACACUCUCCCUAUAUAAUGAUAUACACUUCAUGUAUGUGUUAUUUAUAAUAGUCUCUCCUCAAUUUUAGACCUCUAUAAUAUUGAAUUUGAGUAUUCCUGAGUGGUUCUCAAGACAUUGUUGUUGGGCUUUACUGGAUGAGUUUGAAUACACUCCAAAAGUUGCUCCCGUCAAGUUCCUCUUGUUUUUAGCAUAUUCUUUACCAAUUAGUGCUUGACUUGUUGCAAUUCAGAUGCUCUAAUAUAACUAAGUGUCAAUUGUCAUCAUUCACUGGACUUUCCUGAGGGUCUCAAUACUUGUCACUAAUAACCAAACUAAUAAAAGAGGAGAGAGUCCUCCAGUCACAUGAUCACUUCAGACUCUAUUCAAUCCUCUUCCCCUGGUAUGGUUGAGUCUGUUCUUAUCAGUGACAUCUUCAAGUUGAUUAGCACAAAAUACUUUUGCAUAACAUUACGAUUUGUUUAGACCAACUUGAGUAGAGUGAGAUUAAGAAGGGAAGGAAUGAAUUUUUAUAGUUCAUUACUUUAUCAUGAAUUUUUUUUGUUAAAGUUCUUAGAUUUUACUAAGAAAUAACCAACUAAA
rnacentral:lncRNA from 1 species